AUUGAACGCUGGCGGCAGGCUUAACACAUGCAAGUCGAGCGGGGUGAUGGUGCUUGCACUAUCACUUAGCGGCGGACGGGUGAGUAAUGCUUAGGAAUCUGCCUAUUAGUGGGGGACAACAUCUCGAAAGGGAUGCUAAUACCGCAUACGUCCUACGGGAGAAAGCAGGGGAUCACUUGUGACCUUGCGCUAAUAGAUGAGCCUAAGUCGGAUUAGCUAGUUGGUGGGGUAAAGGCCUACCAAGGCGACGAUCUGUAGCGGGUCUGAGAGGAUGAUCCGCCACACUGGGACUGAGACACGGCCCAGACUCCUACGGGAGGCAGCAGUGGGGAAUAUUGGACAAUGGGGGAAACCCUGAUCCAGCCAUGCCGCGUGUGUGAAGAAGGCCUUAUGGUUGUAAAGCACUUUAAGCGAGGAGGAGGCUACUCUAGUUAAUACCUGGAGAUAGUGGACGUUACUCGCAGAAUAAGCACCGGCUAACUCUGUGCCAGCAGCCGCUGUAA
rnacentral:rRNA from 1 species